GUGCUCACUUCGGCAGCACAUAUACUAAAAUUGGAAUGAUACAGAGAAGAUUAGCAUGGCCCUUGCGCAAGGAUGACAAAUGUGUUUUUGGUUUUUUGUUUUUUUUU